rnacentral:rRNA from 1 species
UAGUGGCAUCGUUAUUUAGCUAGUAGAUAUUACCUAAGAGUCGUGUUGCUUGAUAGUGCAGCACAAAGUUGGUGGUAAACUCCAUCUAAAACUAAAUAUAACCAUGAGACCGAUAGCAAACAAGUACCGUGAGGGAAAGUUGAAAAGAACUCUGAAUAGAGAGUUAAAAAGUACGUGAAACUGCUUAGAGGUUAAGCCCGAUGAACCUAAAUAUCCAUAUAUGAGAAAUUCAUCGCUAAUUUGAUAACAUAUUUAUAUAUGUUGUUAUAAUUAGUGUGCACUUUUCUCAUAUGAGGACAUUGKGAUCUGUUAAUAUAUUAUUAAAAAUUUAUCAUAAGGAUUAUAUGGGUAAAGUUUAUUCGUAUAUUAAGCCUUGUUGUUUAAUAUUGAAUAAAACCAUAAUAAUUCCGGAUAAAUUAUUGACAGAUUUUAUAAAUACAACGCUAACAUUUUAUAUGUUAUAAUUGUAUAUUCAUUUUUAAUGAAUGUAUAUAUUAUAUGCGUUUGUAUGAUUAACAAUGCGAUAGAUUUAGGAUACCUUCGGACCCGUUCUUGAAACACGGACCAAGAAGUCUAACAUGUGUGCAAGUCAAUGGGUAUAUAAUCAUUUUUAAUGAUGAUUAUAUAUUAAAUAAAAACCUAAAGGCGAAAUUAACUUAACUGUUUUUUAUAAAAAUGGGAUGAAUAUAUUUUCUGAAAUAUGAAAUAUAUACAAUCCCGGGGCGUUCCAUCAGUUAUGUAUUUAUGUGAUGUUUCGGCAAAACAUUUAUACCUCUAACUGGAGCGUACCUUGAGCAUAUAUGUUGUGACCCGAAAGAUGGUGAACUAUACCUGAUCAGGUUGAAGUCAGGGGAAACCCUGAUGGAAGACCGAAACAGUUCUGACGUGCAAAUCGAUUGUCAGAAUUGGGUAUAGGGGCGAAAGACCAAUCGAACCANNNNNNNNNNNNNNNNNNNNNNNNNNNNNNNNNNNNNNNNNNNNNNNNNNNNNNNNNNNNNNNNNUAAUCUUAUCUGGUAAAGCGAAUGAUUAGAGGCCUUAGGGCCGAAACAGCCUUAACCUAUUCUCAAACUUUAAAUGGGUAAGAACCAAACCUUUCUUGACAAUGAAGGCUUGGUUAUGAUAUAUUGUGCCCAGUGGGCCACUUUUGGUAAGCAGAACUGGCGCUGUGGGAUGAACCAAACGUAAUGUUACGGCGCCUAAAUUGACAACUCAUACUGAUACCAUGAAAGGCGUUGCUUGCUUAAAACAGCAGGACGGUGGACAUGGAAGUCGUAAUCCGCUAAGGAGUGUGUAACAACUCACCUGCCGAAGCAACUAGCCCUUAAAAUGGAUGGCGCUCAAGUUGUAUGCCUAUACAUUACCGCUAAACCAAAUGAUGUAUAAUAAUUUUUAUUAUAUGUUUUGAAGGUUUAGUGAUUAGGAGGGUACAAUGGUGUGCGUAAAAUUGUUUGGCGUAAGCGUUCAUGGAGCCGCCAUUGGUACAGAUCUUGGUGGUAGUAGCAAAUAAUCGAAUGACACCUUGGAGGACUGAAGUGGAGAAGGGUUUCGUGUGAACAGUGGUUGAUCACGAGUUAGUCGGUCCUAAGUUCAAGGCGAAAGCUGAACAAUUUUAAAGUUAUUAUUAUAAUAAAAAAUAUACACUUUAUAAUUUUUGAACGAAAGGGAAUACGGUUCCAAUUCCGUAACCUGUUGAGUAUACCUUUGAUAUUAAAAAUGGGCUAUAAUUUUAUGCUCAUCCUGGUAACAGAAACAACCAUAAAGAAGCCGUCGAGAGAUAUCGAAAGAGUUUUCUUUUCUGUUUUAUAGUCGUACUACCAUGGAAGUCUUUCGAAGAAAGAUAUGGUAGAUGGACUAGAAGAACAUGGCAUUUACUGCUGUGUCGAUAUUUUCUCCUCGGACCUUGAAAAUUUAUGGUAGGGUCACGCAAACUUCUCAACAGGCCGUACCGAUAUCCGCAGCUGGUCUCCAAGGUGAAGAGUCUCUAGUCGAUAGAAUAAUGUAGGUUAGGGAAGUCGGCAAAUUAGAUCCGUAACUUCGGGAUAAGGAUUGGCUCUGAAGAUUGAGAUAGUCGGGCUUGAUUGGGAAACAAUAUAAACGGUUUAUGUACUCGUUCUGGGUAAAUAGGGCAAAUGAGCUUUUUAAGUUUGUUUGUUUGUUCCCCGGAUAGUAGUUUACGUAGCCAAUUGUGGAACUUUCUUGCUAAUAAUUUAUAUUUUUUCUAAUAUUUGAAUGCAAAUUUGAAUAUUAGUGAAUAUGAAUUUUAUAACGGCUAUCAAUUAACAAUCAAUUCAGAACUGGCACGGACUUGGGGAAUCCGACUGUCUAAUUAAAACAAAGCAUUGUGAUGGCCCUAACGGGUGUUGACACAAUGUGAUUUCUGCCCAGUGCUCUGAAUGUCAAAGUGAAGAAAUUCAAGUAAGCGCGGGUAAACGGCGGGAGUAACUAUGACUCUCUUAAGGUAGCCAAAUGCCUCGUCAUCUAAUUAGUGACGCGCACGAA